rnacentral:sRNA from 1 species
GGUCAAAAAGGAGCCCAGAGUGACAGUUUUCCUUGACGGUCGCCGUUCUGUUUGUUGUAACUGAUCUGCAACAUUUUGGGAAAAUACAGUUCCAUUGUACCUCCCAUCUUUCAGCUGUAGCCAGAAACCUUUAUCAAAAUGGGCUAGUUUCCACAGAACAGCAGAACGGUUGGGGGUUUGCAUGUACAGUAAACCAGCAUAAGACUCGUACUGGGAAAAUCUAGCUGGGAUGUGACACAGCUUAACUGAUAGCUUAAGGCAUCAGUAUUGGGACCAAAGGCUGGUCAGAUUUCUAUCAUUCUGAGGACCAAAUGAUGGGAACAAUAAAAUUGUUCAUGAAAGUUGUUCUCAUUUUGCUGUCCAGAUGAAGACUCUUAAGAUGACAGAAGGUGAAUUUUUCUGGUGAUCGAGGACUCCUGGGGUCAUGAGAGUGAUGAAAUGCAGGGGACCUGGUGGCCCCCAAGUUUCCUGGCAGUGUGUGAUACUGAGGUGAGCUUGUUUCUGGAGCUGUGCUUUAAGAUUCAUGUGUUACAUGUAAAGCUGUCCUCAGUUGUGACUAUGGACCUAUGGAGUUGGGACAAUCUCUAUGGGAAGCAGAAGGCAAGACCCCGGUCAUUUUAGGUAGAAACAACAGCAUGCUAAUGCAAAAAAUUAUGCAAUGUGCUACUGAACUUCAGAGGUGAUCAAUAAAAGAAUAAAGACUAGUAAAAGUA